AUUGAACGCUGGCGGCAGGCUUAACACAUGCAAGUCGAGCGGAGAUGAGGUGCUUGCACCUUAUCUUAGCGGCGGACGGGUGAGUAAUGCGUAGGAAUCUGCCUAUUAGUGGGGGACAACAUUCCGAAAGGAAUGCUAAUACCGCAUACGUCCUACGGGAGAAAGCAGGGGAUCUUCGGACCUUGCGCUAAUAGAUGAGCCUAAGUCGGAUUAGCUAGUUGGUGGGGUAAAGGCCUACCAAGGCGACGAUCUGUAGCGGGUCUGAGAGGAUGAUCCGCCACACUGGGACUGAGACACGGCCCAGACUCCGACGGUAGGCAGCAGUGGGUAAUAUUGGACAAUGGGGGGAACCCUGAUCCAGCCAUGCCGCGUGUGUGAAGAAGGCCUUAUGGUUGUAAAGCACUUUAAGCGAGGAGGAGGCUACUGAGACUAAUACUCUUGGAUAGUGGACGUUACUCGCAGAAUAAGUACCGGCUAACUCUGUGCCAGCCGCCGCAGUAAUAC
rnacentral:rRNA from 1 species